rnacentral:SRP_RNA from 2 species
GCCGGGUGUGGUGGCUCAUGCCUGUAAUCCCAGCACUUUGGGAGGCUGAGGCGGGUGGAUCACCUGAGGUCAGGAGUUCCAGACCAGCCUGGCCAAUAUGGCGAAACCCUGCCUCUA